rfam:Schistosoma margrebowiei strain Zambia genome assembly, scaffold: SMRZ_scaffold0004510
GCACAGCUGAAGUGUCCCACGAUAGAACGAAACAGCCGUCCAGUGC